GGGAGUGAAACUGGAUGAGCUUUAAGAGCUUCCUGAGAGCUGGGCUGAUAUGCAGGAGCCACUGCUUGAGGGGAUGUGCUUCACCCUCAAGUAUCUGGGCAUGACUCUGGUAGAAAAACCAAAAGGAGAAGACAUGGCUGCUGCUGCCAUCCGCAGGAUCGUGGCUACGGCACGGGUUGGAGCUCGCAAGUUUCAGAAGGUGAUUCUGACAGUGUCUCCAAGGGGCAUCUCACUGCAGGAUGCAGACACUAAGGAGAUGGUGGAGAACAUCUCCAUCUACAGGAUCUCCUACUGCACAACAGACAAGCUGCAGAACAAAGUCUUUGCUUACGUUGCCCAGAGCCAGGAGAGCGGGGCACUGGAGUGCCAUGCCUUCCUCUCACCCAAGAAGAAGAUUGCCCAGGCUGUUACUCUGACUGUGGCCCAGGCCUUUCAGAUGGCACUGGAUCUCUGGGAAACAACACAUGGAGGGAGCUACUUGGGCCAUGGGCAUGGUGGAAUCGUGGAGGAGAGCUGCAUGGAACCAAGGGGGAAACUUCCUGGUCUUUGUCUGCUUCCGUCAGCUGAGAGCUCAAGUGAACAGAGGGUCGAGUGGUGGAGGAGCAGAGCAUGCAGUCCAGCUUUUGCAGCAGAGAUAUGGGGGACAGAUGCUGACCCACAGGAUGCACCUAGAAAUGUUUCUUACUCUGUUUCUGCCAGUCUUUGCUGAGGCCAGCCUGUCCAGACAUGUCUCUCACAUGGGACUCAGUUGCCUAUCUACUCCCACUGAUUUCUCUGGCACUUGGAUGGAGUGCCUGGUCAUGCUGACUUCUGUGUGGACUGGGGCUGUGGGCUGAGCUUGAUGGUGACUGUCCUGUGCUGGGGAGGAGCUGAUGGCACAGUCCACCUGCAGGUGUGCAGAAGUGCAGGUGGUGGGCCUGUGAGGCCCAUUGCAUCAUGGCUGUUCUCCAUGUACAUGGCAGCAGGCACCCAGCUUGGGCUGAGCCAGUGUCCCCUGGGAACCAGUGUGCGCACAGGCUGGAGCUGUACGUGUAGCCCAAUGACGCACCCCCCUUUGGACAUGGAGCUCCUGAUGGGAAUGAGAUACAGCUUUGCAAUCUGGGGACAGGCUGGCUUGGGAAGAGUUUGGUAGCAAGGGGGCUUAGGGCCUUCUGCACUGCCAGCACCUGCUGCUGCUGUGCCAUUCCUGCCACGGCAGGGUCACGAGCAUGCUGUGGGCUCUCAGGAGGCCAUGCUUGGGGUAUGAUGGAUGCUGUGUUCUCUUCCAAAGCAGCAUGGAGGAGCUGGGGAAGGGAGCCCACAGCCCAGCAGAGCUAAUACCUCUUGUGCCCCCAUCAAGCUCUCCUACAGCACAGCUACUGUGCUACCG